GCGGGAAGUCGUACAAGGUACUCGGGGCACCAAACCGUUCCGUAGGUGA
rnacentral:rRNA from 1 species